CUGAUAUAUAAAAGAAAUAUAAUAAUAAUUAAUACAAGAUGAGUGAGAACAUUAGACAAAUUCAAUAAGCUAAAAUCAUAAUCUGAAAUCCACAAGCUGAACUGUAAAUGGGAAAAUGUAAGCUGAAAGCUAAUAAUCCACUCUAUACUUAAAAUUCACAUCAAAAUAUACUCCAUGUAAUCAUCUACUGAUGAUCUGAAAACUAUAAAAUCAUAUGCACAUAAACCAUCGGAUCAACACUCUGUACACGGUCGUAGCCCCUCAGUGUAUAAGAUGAAAAAAACAUAAUCAUCCUUAUACACGGCUAUAGCCCCUCAGUGUAUAAUAGGUACCCUUAUACACAGCCGUAGCCCCUCAAUGGAUAAGAGUUACCCUUAUACAUGACUAUAACCCUUCAGUGUAUAGGAGUUAUAUACAUAACUCUAGUACACGGCCGUAGCCCCUCAGUGUACAAGAUGGAAAUAACAUAAUCAUCCUUAUAAACGGUCAUGAUAGAGAAGGAUGCGAUGGGACUUGGAGACGAGUAGUCCAAUUUCCUUCUGAACUAUAGAGACCAUCCCAGCCAUGUCCAGUCAUUGUGGGGGGACUUUUUUUUGGCCCUUAUAAACGGUCAUAGCCCCUCAGUCUAUAGGAGUUAAAUACAUGACUCUAGUACACAGCCGCAACCCCUCGGCGCACUAGAGUAAGAUAAUCACAUCAAUUAUUUAAUGAUAAUUUCAAAACAAUCAUGCUCAUUUACUAAUUCUCGAAAAUAAGGCAUUUCAUGUAAUUAACAUGCUUCUAUAAAAUAAAAAGGAAAUCUUCUUUUUGAAAACGUAGAUUUUCCACUCAC
rnacentral:lncRNA from 1 species